GACGAACGCUGGCGGCGUGCCUAAUACAUGCAAGUCGAACGCUUCUUUCCUCCCGAGUGCUUGCACUCAAUUGGAAAGAGGAGUGGCGGACGGGUGAGUAACACGUGGGUAACCUACCCAUCAGAGGGGGAUAACACUUGGAAACAGGUGCUAAUACCGCAUAACAGUUUAUGCCGCAUGGCAUAAGAGCGAAAGGCGCUUUCGGGUGUCGCUGAUGGAUGGACCCGCGGUGCAUUAGCUAGUUGGUGAGGUAACGGCUCACCAAGGCCACGAUGCAUAGCCGACCUGAGAGGGUGAUCGGCCACACUGGGACUGAGACACGGCCCAGACUCCUACGGGAGGCAGCAGUAGGGAAUCUUCGGCAAUGGACGAAAGUCUGACCGAGCAACGCCGCGUGAGUGAAGAAGGUUUUCGGAUCGUAAAACUCUGUUGUUAGAGAAGAACAAGGACGUUAGUAACUGAACGUCCCCUGACGGUAUCUAACCAGAAAGCCACGGCUAACUACGUG
rnacentral:rRNA from 1 species